rnacentral:tRNA from 1 species
UCCUUGGUGGCUCAGAUGGUAAAGAAUCUGCCUGUAAAGCAGGAGACCUGGGUUUGAUCCCUGGGUUGGGAA